rnacentral:rRNA from 1 species
CCUACGGGUGGCAGCAGUGAGGAAUAUUGGUCAAUGGACGAGAGUCUGAACCAGCCAAGUAGCGUGAGGGAUGACUGCCCUAUGGGUUGUCAACUUCUUUUAUAUGGGAAUAAAAUGUUCCACGUGUGGGGUUUUGUAUGUACCAUGUGAAUAAGGAUCGGCUAACUCCGUGCCAGCAGCCGCCGUAAUACGGAGGAUUCGAGCGUUAUCCGGAUUUAUUGGGUUUAAAGGGACCGUAGGUGGAAUGUUAAGUCAGGUGGAAAAGUUUGCGGCUCAAACGUCAAAUUGCAGUUGAAACUGGCAGUCUUGAGUACAGGAGAGGUGCGCGGAAUGCGUGGUGUAGCGGUGAAAUGCUUAGAUAUCACGCAGAACUCCGAUUGCGAAGGCAGCGCACUGGACUGCAACUGACACUGAGGCUCGAAAGUGUGGGUAUCAAACAGGAUUAGAUAUCCUAGUAGUC